rnacentral:rRNA from 1 species
CAGUAGCCGGGGAAUACAGAGGAUGCAAGCGUUAUCCGGAAUGAUUGGGUGUAAAGCGUCUAUAGGUGGCUUUUCAAGUCCGCUGUCAAAUCCCAGGGCUCAACCCUGGACAGGCGGUGGAAACUACCAAGCUGGAGUACGUUAGGGGCAGAGGGAAUUUCCGGUGGAGCGGUGAAAUGCGUUGAGAUCGGAAAGAACACCAACGGUGAAAGCACUCUGCUGGGCCGACACUGACACUGAGAGACGAAAGCUAGGGGAGCAAAUGGGAUUAGAUACCCCCGUAGUCCAUGUCUCUUAUACA